CUUGAAUUAUUCCUUUUUCAAAUUUAUUAGUCACCUACACUGUACAAGGCACUGUUCCCAGUACUGAUUGCCUCAAUUAUCUGUUUGAUUUUGCCUGCAAAAAUAAAACCAAAGAGAUACUGAAAAUCCACUUUCUCAUUCCAAAGUCCUUAUUUAAAAAAUCAGCAGUUGGUUUGUGUUCAAGUGUUACUUUGUAAGUGCCCCUCAUCUGGUUCCUUUAAUUCUGGUGCACUUGCUUUAAUACGUUCAGAUCACUAGCUAUUCCUGCUGUGUAACCUUCCACCUACCUACCUCGGGUCUGUCGCUGUCGUCUACAUGCUUUUAAGCUCUCUGCAGAAAGAUCAAAUCAUUAAUGGUAUUAAAGAUGUCGCAGUAAAAUUGUUAUCUAUGCUGGAAAUGUUACUUGAGUGAAGAAAAGGAGAAAUUUUUAAUUGGAAGUCUUGCAGCUGGAAACCUUGACAGGGCUGGGGAUUUGUUUCUUUUUAUUUAUUGGAGUUAAUGCAUUUUAGUUUAGGCAGUAUGUGUAUGGAAAUUAUAAGGACAUUUCUGCAUCUUGCAGGUGUCCUUUGGAGGUUUAAAAGCAGAAUCUCUACUUAACCAAAUAGCUUUUGAAACAAGAGUGAAUAAAAUUUUCUUAACAGAAGCCAGGCAGUUUUGAAGAGAACAGCAACAGUGGGUUUUUAUGAAGGGUCCUGAAGACCAGUUCCCCAGUUUCCUAACCAUAACAUUAUGCAAAUUACAUAGUUUCUUUUCCUUUGGCACUAUAAUAGUAUCAAUACUUUCCUUAAAUGUUGUAAUGGAUUAAAUAAAUCAUUAAACAGUCUACCUAGUUUAAAAUGAACUAAUUUUAGUCUGACUUCUUUUCCCUCUUCCUUUCAUGCCGCAAUAAAAAAAAGGGAUAAAAUAUGAUUGUGAUUGAAAUUUGAGACUUCUCAGUCCUUACCCCAUUUCGAAGCCAAAAUAUUGAGUCAUAAAUCUCAGAGGGUUCGUAAAGAUUAACUCCUUAGUUAACAUGCACUAUACACCUACAGAUUUUAUCUAACAGACUUCACUAUAAAUGAAGGUACAAUAUACCCAUUUUAUAGAUCAGGACUGUGAGGCUCAGAGAGUCUAAGUAACUUUUUAAAAGUCGUUCUGUCCUUGGUCAAUAACACUGAGUAUCUGGGAUUCCUGACAGUAAAGCCUAUUCUCAUGAAUUUAAAGGACAUUACAAAGAUAUUGUUAAAGGUCAUGAAGAAGUUACUUCAAUGUAAGCACCUUACCAGACGAUUUCAUACUUACAGCUUCCUCGGUUCUCACACAAACCUUCCUGCUAGGAGUUAUCAUCCUAACUCUUACACUAUGGGAAACACUGAUUAGCACAGUGUUUCUGCCUCUGCAUUCUGGAGUCGGACUGCUUGGGUUGGACUCUGGCAUUGCAUUUGUCGGUGAAGUGCCUUGGGCAAGUUACUUAACCCCUAUUCAUCUCAUUU
rnacentral:lncRNA from 1 species